rnacentral:lncRNA from 1 species
CUCAUUUGGAAGAAAAUUGUCUCUUUGUUUUUCUCUCUCUCUAGCUCUCUCUCACCUCUGCUUCUUCUUUUCUUUCUUGAUUUGAAGAACUUUGGUGAUCUCUGUAAUAAUCUUGUAGUUAUCUGAUGAUGGUAGAAUGUUAGUACAGUGUUUUAGCCUUGUUUGUGGCUGGUAAACCUGUAUUGUGUUCUUGGCAAAGUUUUGUCUAGUCUUGUGGGUUAGGGUUUGAGUUAUUGAGAGAUCAUUGUAGAUCGAUGACCAUAUAGUCGGUCUGAUUUGGUUUUCUCAACUGGUUGUACACUCUCUUGAAGGUUUCUUGCUAGUGACGGGCUUACCUUCGAGCCCCUAGAUUAGGCCCUUUUUGGUUGAACUGGGUGAACAAUCUUUGUGUUCAAUUUCUGUUAUUGCUUUAUUUUUACUGUUUUUACGAUUGUUUGUGGGUUUUGGGUUGAUA